GCGGGUGACCCGGGUUCGAUCCCCGGC
rnacentral:siRNA from 1 species